UCGAGUUAAGGGUGGAUUCCAUAUAGCCCAAGGAAUUUAAUAUUGUAGGAUGUACCAUCUAGCUCAGAAGAGAAAUAAAGAGUAGAGUCAUGAUUUCAAGAGAGAGUUUUGGAAUUUAUCAAAUUAUGCUUAUGUGUUUUCAAAUGAUUUAAGAUGACAUGUUUUUAUGAAAUGCUUUCACCUAUGUUGUAUAAAAAUAUAUUUUAUUUUUGGAUUGUUCUAUGUACCAGUACAUUUUGUAUUGGCCCCCUAUAUUUCAGGAUCUGAGGCACAGUCUCAAGGUCCCACUAAGCAAUAGAUACGUUGUCAGAAGUUUGCAGUUGGUAAGCCUCCCUUAUUUCAGAAGGCCUUAUUUCUUUUGGGACAUUGUUAUUUUAUUUUAGUUCAUGGUACGACUGGGGGCCUUGUCCCAGUUUUCAGUCUGAUGUUGGUUUUGUAUUGCUAGAGAUUUCAUAGACUGGUGUGAUGUAUUUUCAAAUGUUUAUGAAUUAAAUUUCGUAUUGUUUAGUUGAAGUAAGAUACUGACCAUGUUUCCGUUUUGUUAUCUUUUCUGCAUUCCUUAUAACAUAUGAAUGGUGUGCAUGAUUGCCAGAUGGAAAAGGGUGCUCAGGCCUUCAUGAUUCGGGAUGCUUGUCACGGCCAGGGCGUCAGUUUGAGUCAUGACAUUUAUAUUGCAGUUUAUGACAUAUAUCAUCAAUAAGUGAUGAUUUUCUGCUAUUUAGUGAUUGUGAGGCUGAGAUUUAAGAUGUGUGCUUCACAGCACAUCAAUUUACUGCAAAUUAAAUCCUUAAUUUAGUUAACACAUAAUCAACUAUAAUUCCCCCAACCACCCCAAAAAUUAAGGAUAUAAUGAGAUCUAAUGGAAAUAUUUUAGAGAAUUUCGAUGAUGAAGGUGUUACCUAUCUGAGAUUAUUGAUGUUAGGAGAGCAUUUCAACGUCACUCUAAAAGAUAUGAGAUUUGGAGAAAAAGCAAAUCAGAGGAUGAACAUACAAGAAGGGAACUCACAUAGGAAAUCGAGAAAAAACCAUUCUAAGAAAAACGAAAAUGUUAUAAACCCCAAUCACAAUCAUAAAUGAAAUGCAUAGUUUGUUAAUAACAAUUUGAACAAUAUCAAUUUCACAAGAUCAUAUCAGAGAAAGAUCUAAUCUUUCCUAUUGUCGAAGAGGAGAAUGGACAUCGCUGGAAUAACUGUUGUAUGCAGCCCAAGGGUGACAAGAUAAAUUACUACGAUCAUAUAUUAUAGACUCUCUACUUCACAAAUCUUCCUUUUCUUCUCUUCUUCUCUUCAUUUCACCAUCUGGCCAAGCAAAUCAAAACUGACAGAGAUAGAAAAUCAGAAGCACUGCUUCAAUGGGUAUUUGAUUGUGAAAGAAAGUGAUCGACAAAUAUUUUUUAUGGUAUUUAGUGGCGGAGGAACAUAGGCACAUAGUUGAUAUCAGAGCUGCAGGCUGGUAAAAUCCAUCUUUGAGUGUAUGUCUAACAUCUGGUGGAUCUAGUGGAUUUCUAUAGUAAGUACAUUGAUAGUGUUAUUUGUAGAUCUGACGGGAUUUUUUGAGCUGAAAUACCGUGUGCCUUAGUUUUGGCUGGAUUCUCAUUGACCUGCUUUUAGAGAGUAAAUACAAUAUUUUUUUGUAUUUUCAUGUGUAUUUUUAUAUUUUAGAGGAAGUUUCUAACAAAUCUCUGUAUUUGGGUAUUUUGACUUGAUUUCACACUAUGUAUGUAUUUCCUCC
rnacentral:lncRNA from 1 species